AUUGAACGCUGGCGGCAGGCCUAACACAUGCAAGUCGUGCGGAGCGGCGGACGGGUGAUUAAUGCCUAGGAAUCUGCCUGGUAGUGGGGGAUAACGUCCGGAAACGGGCGCUAAUACCGCAUACUAUCAGAUGAGCCUCGGUCGGAUUAGCUAGUUGGUGGGGUCAAGGACUACCAAGGAGACGAUCCGUAACUGGGCUGAGAGGCUGAUAAGUCAAACUGGAACUGAGACACGGUCCAGAUUCCUACGGGGGGUAGCAGUGGGGAAUAUUGGACAAUGGGCGAAAGCCUGAUCAAGCCAUGCCGCGUGUGUGAAGAAGGUCUUCGGAUUGUAAAGCACUUUAAGUUGGGAGGCGUUACCAACAGAAUAAGCACCGGCUAACUUCGGGCCAGCCGCCGCGGUAAUAC
rnacentral:rRNA from 1 species